rnacentral:lncRNA from 1 species
UAUUACUCUAUGUAGCACUUGUAUCAUGGAAUAAAAUAAAAUCUAAAUCAAGUCUAUUCCUGCCUACUUUUAGAUACUUUGCAGCGCUAAUGGAUGCUGAUUACUAGCUGUGGCUUUGUUAGCCUGGGCUAGACAUCAUCCACAGGCUUGGUUUUGUGCUCUGGAAUCACAGAAUCAUAGCAUGGUUUGAGUUGGAAGGGACCCUUAAAGAUCAUCUAGUCCAACUCCCGUGCAGUAAACAGGGGUACCUACAGCUCAAUUAGAGUGAUCAGAGCCCCAUCCAGCCUCACCUUGAAUGUCUCCAGGGACAGUGGAAAACAAGAUGAAUUUCAUCAUUGUUUUUAAUGAGCAAUAGGCAAAUCAAUGAGAAAUGAAAGUGCAUGAUCUGAAGUGCUGUGAUCAACUCAGACUGUGUUUGUAUCCCUGCUCCAGUCCAGUAGUGUGUUGCCAGAAUUGGUAUGUUAUUUCAAAACUCACCAGAGUGGCUACGUGGCCUGUUUUAGGAAGAAGUGCCUUUCUCAGGGCCUUGAGAUACUCUUAACUAAAACAUGCUUACAGCACUGUAUCUCAUGGUAGCAUCACUGAAGUGACAUAUAUGGAAGCAGAGGGG